UAAAAUAUGUAGGGCCCAAAUUUUGUGAGACACAUGUCCAACCCUAGGGAUUUAGGGUGGACCCCACCCUCUCAUUUAGAGACACAUGGCUUCUUAGGAAUUGAUAUGAUAUAGCCGUCACACUUUGGGGGGGGCACCACAUUCUUCUCGGGAUUCAUUUUUUUUUAGGGCUGCAACAUUCUGUAGGGGGACUCUUCUUUCUCUUGAAACCAUGAUUUUGUUUCUUGAUUUUGGGUGAAUGAAAAAUAAGGGCACAACCGCCACUUGUUACGGGCCAAUUUCUUUUGCAUUUGAUUUUUUUUCUUUAUUUUGAGAUGAACCCUUGAACAUUUGCACGAUGAUCACUAUGGGAUGAAUUUUAUUUAGCAUGAUU
rnacentral:lncRNA from 1 species